rnacentral:rRNA from 1 species
UACGGAGGGGGCUAGCGUUGUUCGGAAUUACUGGGCGUAAAGCGCGCGUAGGCGGACCUGCAAGUCGGGGGUGAAAGCCCGAGGCUCAACCUCGGAACUGCCUUCGAUACUGCGGGUCUCGAGUCCGGGAGAGGUGAGUGGAAUUCCCAGUGUAGCGGUGAAAUGCGUAGAUAUUGGGGAGGAACACCAGUGGCGAAGGCGGCUCUCUGGGACGGUACUGACGCUGAGACGCGAAAGCGUGGGGAGCGAACAGG